ensembl:lncRNA
CUUUGUUUGCUUUAUUAUAUCUACCUAUAUUACAUUAAAAUAAAAAAUUUAAAAAUACAAAAUACACAUUUCUCAAAAGAAGACAUACAAAAGGCCAAUAAGAUGUAUGAAAAAAAAGUGAACAUCAAAAAGCAUUGGAAAUGAACGUCAAGACUAUGAUGAGAUCACAUCACUCCAGUUAGACUACUAUCAAAAAAAUCAAAAGAUAACAAGCAUUGGUGAGAUAUGAAGAAAAGAAGACCCUUAUAUACUGGUGGUGGGAAUGUGUCCCAUCCACCACUUCCUACAGAGCUGUGUAUCUACUUCUCUCUAGGUUCCUGUGGUUCCCACCAGUCAAGGAGCAGUGAUUAUUUUACUUCUUGCCUGAAGCUGUUAUAACAGCCAUGAUCUACAGCUUCAAGUUUUUAUUUCCCACGUCCUACCGUGCCCAUCUUUUGAGACUUUAAUUGAGUGACAUAAUUGAAUUUAUAUUUCAAGAAACCUCCCCUGAAGAGGAAUAUACCACCAAAAUACUAAAAUUUUUGCAAUAAGAAAAUGACUAAGACAUGGGCCAUGUGAUGGAAUAAUGAAUGGUGCUGAGAAGAGGCUGUGACAAUAGAUUCUUCAUUCUACAAACUGCCAGUGUGGGGAGCUUUACAGGAUGUAGCAGAUGGUGCCAUACUGUAGAUAUCCCAUCACUGGUAAGAUACCCUGGGUAGUUUCCAAUCACUGAUGAUUUCAGAUCUUUAAAUCUUGGAUGUCCGGGGUUGGAGAAGUCUGGUCUAUGGAUUGGCAUUGACAGCCUCUCUGAGUUGGGAUGGGAAUGAGAGAUGAAGAUUAAACUCUGAUUAACCUUGAAUAACUCAAACUUUUCAGCAGAC